AAAAACAAACAAAACUUUCAACAACGGAUCUCUUGGUUCUCGCAUCGAUGAAGAGCGCAGCGAAAUGCGAUACCUAGUGUGAAUUGCAGCCAUCGUGAAUCAUCGAGUUCUUGAACGCACAUUGCGCCCCUCGGCAUUCCGGGGGGCAUGCCUGUUUGAGCGUCGUUUCCAUCUUGCGCGUGCGCAGAGUUGGGGGAGCGGAGCGGACGACGUGUAAAGAGCGUCGGAGCUGCGACUCGCCUGAAAGGGAGCGAAGCUGGCCGAGCGAACUAGACUUUUUUUCAGGGACGCUUGGCGGCCGAGAGCGAGUGUUGCGAGACAACAAAAAGCUCGACCUCAAAUCAGGUAGGAAUACCCGCUGAACUUAAGCAUAUCAAUAAGCGGAGGAAAAGAAACCAACAGGGAUUGCCUCAGUAGCGGCGAGUGAAGCGGCAAGAGCUCAGAUUUGAAAUCGUGCUUUGCGGCACGAGUUGUAGAUUGCAGGUUGGAGUCUGUGUGGAAGGCGGUGUCCAAGUCCCUUGGAACAGGGCGCCCAGGAGGGUGAGAGCCCCGUGGGAUGCCGGCGGAAGCAGUGAGGCCCUUCUGACGAGUCGAGUUGUUUGGGAAUGCAGCUCCAAGCGGGUGGUAAAUUCCAUCUAAGGCUAAAUACUGGCGAGAGACCGAUAGCGAACAAGUACUGUGAAGGAAAGAUGAAAAGCACUUUGAAAAGAGAGUGAAACAGCACGUGAAAUUGUUGAAAGGGAAGGGUAUUGCGCCCGACAUGGGGAUUGCGCACCGCUGCCUCUCGUGGGCGGCGCUCUGGGCUUUCCCUGGGCCAGCAUCGGUUCUUGCUGCAGGAGAAGGGGUUCUGGAACGUGGCUCUUCGGAGUGUUAUAGCCAGGGCCAGAUGCUGCGUGCGGGGACCGAGGACUGCGGCCG
rnacentral:rRNA from 1 species